rnacentral:rRNA from 1 species
GACAGAGGGGGCGAGCGGUGUCCGGAGUCACUGGGCGUAAAGCGCGGGCAGGCGGCAACCUUAGUGUCGUGUGAAAGCCCCCGGCUCAACCGGGGGAGGCCAUGGCAAACUGGGUCGCUCGAGCUGCGGAGAGGCCCCUCGAAUUGCCGGUGUAGCGGUGAAAUGCGUAGAGAUCGGCAGGAAGACCAAGGGGGAAGCCAGGGGGCUGGCCGCAGGCUGACGCUGAGGCGCGACAGCGUGGGGAGCAAAUCGG